rnacentral:rRNA from 1 species
GACGAACGCUGGCGGCGUGCCUAACACAUGCAAGUCGAACGGGCCCUGAGGAAACGAAGGGUCAGUGGCGAACGGGUGCGUAACACGUGAGGAACUUGUCCAUCGGCGGGGGAUAGCCGGCCCAACGGCCGGGUAAUACCGCGUACGCCGGCGAGACCGCAUGGUCUUGCCGGGAAAGCAGCAAAUGCAUCGAUGGAGAGCCUCGCGGCCUAUCAGCUUGUUGGCGGGGUAAGGCCACCAAGGCGACGACGGUAGCUGGUCUGAGAGGAUGAUCAGCCACAUUGGGACUGAGACACGGCCCAGACUCCUACGGGAGGCAGCAGUGGGGAAUAUUGCGCAAUGGGGGAAACCCUGACGCAGCGACGCCGCGUGCGGAUGAA